UACGUAGGGUGCGAGCGUUAAUCGGAAUUACUGGGCGUAAAGCGUGCGCAGGCGGUUCGCCAAGUCAGGUGUGAAAUCCCCGGGCUUAACCUGGGAAUUGCGCUUGAAACUAGCGGGCUUGAGUGUGGCAGAGGGGGGUGGAAUUCCACGUGUAGCAGUGAAAUGCGUAGAGAUGUGGAGGAACACCGAUGGCGAAGGCAGCCCCCUGGGUCAACAC
rnacentral:rRNA from 1 species